UCGGCUCCGGUUCACGCACCCGCACCCCGCGGCGGCGACCCGGCGCC
rfam:Streptomyces bungoensis strain DSM 41781 genomic scaffold PRJNA299233_s016, whole genome shotgun sequence.